GGGACUAGGAGGCUGCAAACCAUACUGACAUGUGACUUACCAGUUCCAGAACCAGAAACACAUCUCUCCCCAACAGGGCAUAUGCAGCUUUCUGCAGGAGAGCUGGUUACCAGCAGCGUUGCAGUGAUGCUGUCCGGCCUUGGGUCCUGCUGCUGCUCUCACUGAAAUCAGCAGUGACUUCAGCAGUUCAGGACUGGACCACAAACUCUAUAGCAUUUCUGGGAUCCUUCAAGAUGAAAAGCACUCCACGUGGAUGUUAUGCCACUUCCAUAGGCUUCGACUGUCACCUCCUGCCUGAGGAACAUCUCCAGGUGACUACAGUUGAGCCCUAUACUAGCCGAGCUGGAUCCUGAACAAACAUCCCUGGCAGACAAUAGUGGAACAAGUGGGUUUUUUCCAUGUAAGCUUCAGUGCCCUGGUUUAGAGCUAUGAUCUAAGGCUGCCAUGGUGGAGCUCUUUGGAAUAAAGGUGCUGCUGUCUUUUUUUCUCA
rnacentral:lncRNA from 1 species